GCAGUUAAAGCUCGUAGUUGGAUUUUGGUUAAGAGGGCGCGGUCGGCCGUUUGGUCUGUACUGCGUUGUCUUGACUUCCUGAUGAGGACAUGCUCUUGGUUAACGCUGAGACAUGGAGUCAUCGUGGUCACUUUGAAAAAAUUAGAGUGUUCAAAGCGGGCUUACGCUUGAAUAUAUUAGCAUGGAAUAACACUAUAGGGCUCCUGUCCUAUCUCGUUGGUCUCGGGAUGGGAGUAAUGAUUAAGAGGAACAGUUGGGGGCAUUCGUAUUUCAUUGUCAGAGGUGAAAUUCUUGGAUUUAUGAAAGACGAACUUCUGCGAAAGCAUUUGCCAAGGAUGUUUUCAUUAAUCAAGAACGAAAGUUGGGGGCUCGAAGAUGAUUAGAUACCAUCCUAGUCUCAACCAUAAACGAUGCCGACUAGGGAUUGGUGGAUGUUAAUUGAUGACUUCACCAGCACCUUAUGAGAAAUCAAAGUUUUUGGGUUCCGGGGGGAGUAUGGUCGCAAGGCUGAAACUUAAAGGAAUUGACGGAAGGGCACCACCAGGCGUGGAGCCUGCGGCUUAAUUUGACUCAACACGGGGAAACUUACCAGGUCCAGACAUAAGUAUGAUUGACAGAUUGAGAGCUCUUUCUUGAUUCUAUGGGUGGGGGGUGCAUGGCCGUUCUUAGUUGGGUG
rnacentral:rRNA from 1 species